CUCUGCUGAUAUAAGAGGUGACAGGGCCUGGCCUCGGGGCUCUGCUGCUGCGGACUGCAGCACAUCAUGCGCAGCCCCUUGGGAGCCCUCUGCCUGAGCUGGGCCCUGGCCCUGGCCCACCCCCUGGGUCACGGGAGCAGCAAGUUCAAUGGCACUGGCGGCAGCAGCUGGCACCACUCGGCCUCACAGCCUCCGCUCAACGACACAGAGACCGCCAGGCGCUGUGCCAACGAGGAAGGCUUUGACGCCAUCACGCUGGACGAGAGAGGCAACAUGCUCUUCUUCAAAGGGGACGUGGUCUGGAAGGGCUUCAGUGGGCCGGCCGAGCCCCUCAACGCCUCCUGGCCCCAGAC
rnacentral:lncRNA from 1 species